CCGUAUUCUGUGAGUUGCGAACGGGUGAGUAACGCGUAGGUAACCUGCCUGGUAGCGGGGGAUAACUAUUGGAAACGAUAGCUAAUACCGCAUAAGAACAUUUACUGCAUGGUAGAUGUUUAAAAGGUGCAAAUGCAUCACUACCAGAUGGACCUGCGUUGUAUUAGCUAGUAGGUGAGGUAACGGCUCACCUAGGCGACGAUACAUAGCCGACCUGAGAGGGUGAUCGGCCACACUGGGACUGAGACACGGCCCAGACUCCUACGGGAGGCAGCAGUAGGGAAUCUUCGGCAAUGGGGGGAACCCUGACCGAGCAACGCCGCGUGAGUGAAGAAGGUUUUCGGAUCGUAAAGCUCUGUUGUUAAGGAAGAACGAGUGUGAGAAUGGAAAGUUCAUACUGUGACGGUACUUAACCAGAAAGGGACGGCUAACUACGUGCCAGCAGCCGCGGUAAUACGUAGGUCCCGAGCGUUGUCCGGAUUUAUUGGGCGUAAAGCGAGCGCAGGCGGUUAGAUAAGUCUGAAGUUAAAGGCAGUGGCUCAACCAUUGUAGGCUUUGGAAACUGUUUAACUUGAGUGCAGAAGGGGAGAGUGGAAUUCCAUGUGUAGCGGUGAAAUGCGUAGAUAUAUGGAGGAACACCGGUGGCGAAAGCGGCUCUCUGGUCUGUAACUGACGCUGA
rnacentral:rRNA from 1 species